GUUACUGGAUUAAGUCAUAAAUGCCUGUGGUUUAAAAAAAUAAUGAAGUACAAAAGGAUAUAAAAAAUAUAAAAAUGAGUCUCUUUGCUCAGGCAACCACUGCUACAUGGUUUGUGUGUUUUCUUCCAAGGUUGUCUAUACAUAUAGCCCUCAUACCCCCCCCCCCCCCCCCGUAUGAGUAAUAGCUGACUCUGCGCCCUGUUACGUAUUUUUGCUUUAAUAGUACAUUUCACUGUUGUUUGACAUCUGUUCGUAGAGAGAUGCCUUAUUAUUUUAGGCUGCCUAUUUUGCUCCAGACUAUAGAUUUUCUACUCUGAAAUCCCUAAUGGUUGGGUGACUUUGAGACAUACUGUUUGCUCUGAAUCCUUGGCUUCCGGUACUGCCUUGACUGGGCCCUGCCUUUUGCCCGAGUGCUGCCUUAGCUGUGUUGGUUCUUCUAGGAUCAAUCUGUGUGACUUGGCAUCCUCAAAUUUCCUCCUUUCUAUUAACACUUUUAGCUUCCUUCCUUCCUGAUCUCUCUCCCCAAACUGAAGCAGAAUUUUAAGUAACAGCAACAACAACAAAAAGAUGUACUUGCAUGAGACGUUUAUUAAAAUUGAUUUAAUUGAGCUUAAUAGUCUUUUUUAGUCUCUCAGCCUUCUGCUAGAGGCAAAGGAGCUAUUGAAUAUCCUAAGGGUAGAAACAGAAAAAUGGAGAGAAAAGACAAUGAUAAUUAUUUAGUUUGGUAUUCAAAACUGGUCUUUAAUAUGAAGUUGAUACCUUUUUUUGAAUUCUUGUAAUAUAUAAUAUUGAAAAAAGAGGUAAUAUAUAAUAUCGUAGAAAAAAGAUUCUGCCUAUAGAAUACAGUACUGUGCAAGGAAGGGCAUCUUUUCUGAAUCUUAGGGAGGAGUAAAUUGUAGUGAAAAAUGAGAAUUAGCUUUUGUGAUAUUUGCUAUUGCCAUUAUCAUCUUAAGUUUAGGUUUGGUCAUUUAACUUCUUAGAAGAGUUUAUCUUGUUUUGUUUUUGUACUAUUUAAAGCAACAUUACUUGUAUUUAGUGUAAGCUGUGACUGGAUGGUGAUGCCUCCCUCAGUCCUGACUCUGCAAACAAAAACUUAGCUUGGAAGUAUGAUUUAUCAUAGAUACAUAAGAGAGUGCCAUGGAUUUUGUUUUUGUUUUUUGGUUGUUACAUGACAACUGUAGGAAAUUUAAAAUCAGACUAGAUAUUUUUUUGGAUGAAUAAGAAAGGUGUAGAUUUAUUUGUUUGAUUUGUUGUUCUUACAUUCUUCUUCAAAGCAUAUCAUCUGGGGCUGUGUUCCUAGGAGAGCAGUCAUUUAUAUUAGUUUGGAAAUUUCUUAAGGGCACAGAUCAGAUCCUUCACUUCUGUGUUUCCAGUGAAUAGCAUUGUGACCUGAUAUUUAAUAGGUGUUCAGUAAAUGUUUGUUAUACUAAACUAAAAGAUUCACCAAGUAGGCACUAGAAUAAUUUUAUUCUACUUAUGAAUUUACUGUAGUGUGUGGCAGUGUUCCAUAAUUAACCUAGUAAUUUUUUUUAACCAGCUGGUUUUAAGAUAAUAAUUAAAAUUUUCUUAAGUUUUCCCUGUUUUUUACCUUCAAGAACUUUUGUUAAGAGAAGAUCAGCUAGAAAUUUCCUUUGUAUACCGGCCUUGAGAAUCAGUUUUGACACAAAUUAUGGAUUUGCUUGCAGUGUUGAGAUGAUACUGUGUUUAAACAGUCAUGCUAAAAAUGAGCUCAUGUGUGAAUCAUCAAUAAAGCAAACAGUAUACCACUUAAAAAUAAUUAUUGCUACAAUUUAGGGACGCCUGGUGGCUCAGUUGGUUGAGUGUCCAGCUCUUGAUUUUGGCUCAGCUCAUGAUCUCACAGAUUGUGCCCUGCAUCAGGCUCUGCGCUGACAGUGCCCAGCCUGCUUGGGAUUCUCUCUGUCCCUCUCUCUAUCUGCUCCUCCUCCACGUGCGUGCAUAUGCACACAUGCUCUCUCUCACAAAAUAAAUACAUAAACAUUUAAAAAUCCAUUAUUGCCACAAUUUAAAAUGGUCAUUGACCAACAUAUUCAUAUAUUAAGAAAAAAAUGAAAGCUUAUCUUUCUAGCACAGAAGAGUUAUAAUUAAUAUCACAUCAUGUAAGGUGACUGCAGUCUACCCUACUGUAAAACUGAAUACUGAUUUCCUUUGAAAAAAUCUUGUAAACAUUUUUCUCAGAACAUACAGAAUAUUUGACAUUAAGGAAUAGCACAUGACUAAAUCCUUGAUGAGGUUUAAGUAAUUUUUAUGAGCACCUAUUAUGAGAAUCUGAAAUAUUCACUAAUUAGCUAAUUUCUAGGCAUCAGAAACUUACCCUUUGGAGGGCUGGUUUUUUGGAAAGAUACUGAUUAAUGAUCUAUGUAAGCAGUAAAUAGUGCAUCCUAAGAUAGUUUCAAAACCUGAGGCAAGAAAAAGUUAUUAAUAUCGGAAAAGGAAUAAUUAGGCGUAAGAUACCCUGGCUCUUUCUGAAUCAAGAGCUGUGGAAGAACUUUAUGUUGCUGUUUAGAUGACCAUGUCUGUUGUUGUCUCAGGUGGUAGAAAGUUUUAGCUAUUGACAGAGGCAGAGUUGAUUGGCUGUGCCUAAUUGUAAGUGAGCAAAGCAAUAAGAAAAUAGUAGCUGAUUAGACCAUUAAGACCGCAUGGGAAAAACAACAAACCCUUAAAUGGCAACUGCUAACUUAGGGAAAAACUUCUGUUGUCUGUAUUUAUGGAAUGGGUGACCUCUUAUUUUUCUCAUUUGUAAAAUGUAUAAGUUGAAUUAGAAACUCUUUGAGGUCUAGGGGCGCCUGGGUGGCUCAGUCAGUUGAGCGUCUGACUUUGGCUCAGGUCAUGACCUCACGUUCAUGGUGAAGUUCAAGCCCUGCAGGUUCUGUGCCUACAGCUCAGAGCCUGGAGCCUGCUUUGGAUUCCUUGUCUCCCUCUCUCUUUGCCCCUCCCCUGCUCAUGCUCUGUC